rnacentral:piRNA from 1 species
UGGGUUUAGCACUGUUCUUCCCAGGUAG